AUGAACGCUAGCUACAGGCUUAACACAUGCAAGUCGAGGGGCAGCAUGAACUUAGCUUGCUAAGUUUGAUGGCGACCGGCGCACGGGUGAGUAACACGUAUCCAACCUGCCGAUGACUCGGGGAUAGCCUUUCGAAAGAAAGAUUAAUACCCGAUGGCAUAGUUCUUCCGCAUGGUAGAACUAUUAAAGAAUUUCGGUCAUCGAUGGGGAUGCGUUCCAUUAGGUUGUUGGCGGGGUAACGGCCCACCAAGCCUUCGAUGGAUAGGGGUUCUGAGAGGAAGGUCCCCCACAUUGGAACUGAGACACGGUCCAAACUCCUACGGGAGGCAGCAGUGAGGAAUAUUGGUCAAUGGACGAGAGUCUGAACCAGCCAAGUAGCGUGAAGGAUGACUGCCCUAUGGGUUGUAAACUUCUUUUAUACGGGAAUAAAGUGAGGCACGUGUGCCUUUUUGUAUGUACCGUAUGAAUAAGGAUCGGCUAACUCCGUGCCAGCAGCCGCGGUAAUACGGAGGAUCCGAGCGUUAUCCGGAUUUAUUGGGUUUAAAGGGAGCGUAGGCGGACGCUUAAGUCAGUUGUGAAAGUUUGCGGCUCAACCGUAAAAUUGCAGUUGAUACUGGGUGUCUUGAGUACAGUAGAGGCAGGCGGAAUUCGUGGUGUAGCGGUGAAAUGCUUAGAUAUCACGAAGAACUCCGAUUGCGAAGGCAGCCUGCUGGACUGUAACUGACGCUGAUGCUCGAAAGUGUGGGUAUCAAACAGGAUUAGAUACCCUGGUAGUCCACACAGUAAACGAUGAAUACUCGCUGUUUGCGAUAUACAGUAAGCGGCCAAGCGAAAGCGUUAAGUAUUCCACCUGGGGAGUACGCCGGCAACGGUGAAACUCAAAGGAAUUGACGGGGGCCCGCACAAGCGGAGGAACAUGUGGUUUAAUUCGAUGAUACGCGAGGAACCUUACCCGGGCUUGAAUUGCAACUGAAUGAUGUGGAGACAUGUCAGCCGCAAGGCAGUUGUGAAGGUGCUGCAUGGUUGUCGUCAGCUCGUGCCGUGAGAUGGCGGCUUAAGUGCCAUAACGACCGCAACCGUUAUCGAUAGUUACCAACAGGUUAUGCUGGGGACUCUGUCGAGACUGCCGUCGUAAGAUGUGAGGAAGGUGGGGAUGACGUCAAAUCAUCAUGCCCUUUAUGUCCUGGGCUACACACGUACUACAAUGGUCGGAAACAGAGGGAAGCGAAGCCGCGAGGCAGAGCAAACCCCAGAAACCCGAUCUCAGUUCGGAUCGCAGGCUGCAACCCGCCUGCGUGAAGUCGGAAUCGCUAGUAAUCGCAGGUCAGCAUACUGCGGUGAAUACGUUCCCGGGCCUUGUACACACCGCCCGUCACACCAUGAGAGCCGGGGGGACCCGAAGUCGGUAGUCUAACCGCAAGGAGGACGCCGCCGAAGGUAAAACUGGUGAUUGGGGUG
rnacentral:rRNA from 1 species